GUGAGGAAUAUUGGACAAUGGGCGCAAGCCUGAUCCAGCCAUGCCGCGUGCAGGAAGACGCAUCUAUGGUGUGUAAACUGCUUUUGUAAGGGAAGAAACACUCCCUCGUGAGGGAGCUUGACGGUACCGUAAGAAUAAGGAUCGGCUAACUCCGUGCCAGCAGCCGCGGUAAUACGGAGGAUCCAAGCGUUAUCCGGAAUCAUUGGGUUUAAAGGGUCCGUAGGCGGUUUAAUAAGUCAGUGGUGAAAGCCCAUCGCUCAACGAUGGAACGGCCAUUGAUACUGUUAGACUUGAAUUACAAGGAAGUAACUAGAAUAUGUAGUGUAGCGGUGAAAUGCUUAGAUAUUACAUGGAAUACCAAUUGCGAAGGCAGGUUACUACUUGUGGAUUGACGCUGAUGGACGAAAGCGUGGGGAGCGAACAGGAUUAGAAACCCUGGUAGUCC
rnacentral:rRNA from 1 species